rnacentral:rRNA from 1 species
AGUGAACGCUGGCGGUAGGCCUAACACAUGCAAGUCGAACGGCAGCACAGUAAGAGCUUGCUCUUACGGGUGGCGAGUGGCGGACGGGUGAGGAAUACAUCGGAAUCUACUUUUUCGUGGGGGAUAACGUAGGGAAACUUACGCUAAUACCGCAUACGACCUACGGGUGAAAGCAGGGGAUCUUCGGACCUUGCGCGAUUGAAUGAGCCGAUGUCGGAUUAGCUAGUUGGCGGGGUAAAGGCCCACCAAGGCGACGACCCGUAGCUGGUCUGAGAGGAUGAUCAGCCACACUGGAACUGAGACACGGUCCAGACUCCUACGGGAGGCAGCAGUGGGGAAUAUUGGACAAUGGGCGCAAGCCUGAUCCAGCCAUACCGCGUGGGUGAAGAAGGCCUUCGGGUUGUAAAGCCCUUUUGUUGGGAAAGAAAAGCAGCAGGUUAAUACCCCGCUGUUAUGACGGUACCCAAAGAAUAAGCACCGGCUAACUUCGUG